CGUGGGGUGCGAGCGUUAAUCGGAAUUACUGGGCGUAAAGCGUGCGCAGGCGGUUUGUUAAGAUAGGCGUGAAAUCCCCGGGCUCAACCUGGGAACUGCGCUUACGACUGGCAAGCUAGAGUACGGCAGAGGGGGUGGAAUUCCACGUGUAGCAGUGAAAUGCGUAGAGAUGUGGAGGAACACCAAUGGCGAAGGCAGCCCCCUGGGUCGAUACUGACGCUCAUGCACGAAAGCGUGGGUAGCAAACAGGAUUAGAUACCCUGGUAGUCCACGCCCUAAACGAUGUCAACUAGGUGUUGGAUGGGUAAAACCAUUUAGUACCGGAGCUAACGCGUGAAGUUGACCGCCUGGGGAGUACGGCCGCAAGGUU
rnacentral:rRNA from 1 species